GUUGCUCUGGUUACUUCUGACAGAAUUGGAUUAUACAGGGAAUAUUAGCACGACUCCUGCUGAAUGAUGACACCCACGAAAAGGGAAAAGGUUCAAAAGUUA
rfam:Nicotiana attenuata strain TT chromosome 2, whole genome shotgun sequence.